rnacentral:rRNA from 1 species
UACGAAGGGGGCUAGCGUUGUUCGGAAUCACUGGGCGUAAAGCGCGCGUAGGCGGGUCGUUAAGUCAGGGGUGAAAUCCCGAGGCUCAACCUCGGAACUGCCUUUGAUACUGGCGACCUGGAGUCCGGGAGAGGUGAGUGGAACUCCUAGUGUAGAGGUGAGAUUCGUAGAUAUUCGGAAGAACACCAGUGGCGAAGGCGACUCACUGGACAUGUAUUGACGCUGAGGUGCGAAAGCGUGGGGAGCAAACAGG